rnacentral:snoRNA from 10 species
UGGACUGUUGAUGACAAGUGGUGGCUUAUGUGGUUGUACAUGCUGGUUGUAUAUGAAGAAUAUUACAUAUCUGAAACUUUGAGGUCCAA